rnacentral:lncRNA from 1 species
CCCUGGUAUAAAAGAUUUUAAAAUCAUCAUUAACCUCCCUUUUUUCUUUUCUAUUUCUGGAUUAUUAUAUGAUGAUUUUUGAACUUUCCAUAUACAUAUAUAGAAAUAGAAAAAGAUAGACUAGAACCGACAUCUCUUAUGUCAUGUCAAUGAUAAUAUAAAAAUGGAAUUGGGAUCUGGAUGGAAUAUAAUGAAAUAGAGCCACUUUGAGGUUCCCUAUGAAAUGAGGCAUGGAACGGAGCCACUACGAAGAAGUUCCGGGGGUUACGAAGGAAACUUCGAGUUCAUAUUGGUCAUGGGUUGAGAACGGGU